UACGGAGGAUGCAAGCGUUAUCCGGAAUCAUUGGGCGUAAAGCGUCCGCAGGUGGCAAAUCAAGUCUGCUGUUAAAGACAGAAGCUCAACUUCUGAACAGCAGUGGAAACUGGUUAGCUAGAGUAUGGUAGGGGUUGAGGGAAUUCCCAGUGUAGCGGUGAAAUGCGUAGAUAUUGGGAAGAACACCAGUGGCGAAGGCGCUCAACUGGGCCAUAACUGACACUCAGGGACGAAAGCUAGGGUAGCGAAAGGG
rnacentral:rRNA from 1 species